AGGAGUGUAGCUUAAUUGGUAGAGUUCCGGUCUCCAAAACCGGCGGUUAGGGGUUCGAGUCCCUUCACUCCUG
rnacentral:tRNA from 1 species